UAGGGAAUAUUGGUCAAUGGGCGAAAGCCUGAACCAGCCAUGCCGCGUGCAGGAAGAAGGCCCUCUGGGUUGUAAACUGCUUUUGACAGGGAACAAGAAGGCCAUGCGUGGCAAAGUGAGUGUACCUGUAGAAUAAGCCACGGCUAACUACGUGCCAGCAGCCGCGGUAAUACGUAGGUGGCAAGCGUUGUCCGGAUUUAUUGGGUUUAAAGGGUGCGUAGGCGGCCGCUUAAGUCAGUUGUGAAAUAUCCCGGCUCAACCGGGAGGGUGCGAUUGAUACUGGGCGGCUCGAGUAACAGCGAGGUUGGCGGAAUUGACGGUGUAGCGGUGAAAUGCAUAGAUAUCGUCAAGAACACCGAUAGCGAAGGCAGCCAACUAGGGGUUAACUGACGCUGAGGCACGAAAGUGCGGGGAUCAAACAG
rnacentral:rRNA from 1 species